UACUUUGAAAUUUUAAUGUAUUGCUGAUAAGAUAACAGACUUUAUUAUCUGAUGGCGUUUAGCUAAAUAUAUCGUUUUUUUGUCGACACUUUUGAUGUAAAUAAUGUUUAUGGAAUGUUUAACAUAAGUGAUAAUAAUAAUCAGGUUAUUUUAUAGCAAAUAUCUAUAAAAUAUACGAGAGGAAAGAAACUAGGAACUUAUAUCAAAAUCACAAAGCACAAAUUUUAAAUGUUUGGCGUAAUUUCUACAUGACAUUUAAAGUCAUUCUUAUGGUUCGAGGCAGUUUAUAUCCAAGUUUAUUUCUUCUCCAUAUGUUUGAGUCUAGGAUUUCAUAUGCAUUUUAGGCAUCUGAGAUCAGUGGAUUGGACAGAGAGGUCCAAAAGAAUGGCUACCAA